AAGACAGAGGCUUUGGACUCGCUGAUGAUUAUCAAGACGAUGAAACAUCCUGACAGGAGUUUUAACAGACGCACACCCUUUGAGAUAUUCAUUUCGUCACGUUUUCUUCUGUCAGACAACUUGAGAUGAUUACGGUAUUCGUUGGAUUGCCCGUUGGAGGAAAAUACGAGAGGGUGAAAUAACGUGGCAUAAGAUACUUGGAGUAGCGAAAGUGACUCGAACUCCUAGAGGUGUUGGGAUGCAGCGUUGACAGACAUAUGAGGAUUCCAGCGGCGAGAUCGGAUAUGUGCGCCGACUACCGAAAACCCCGUUGUCAAUGAAGAAACUUUUAUUUUCAAUUCUCCUCCUCAAUAUUUCUUGAAAGAAUCAUUGAGACUAAAUACGGAGAAUUGUUGGCGGAACACUGUCAUCUCCAACGUCUCACUUACACUGCAAGACUAAAUUACGACAGUCCCAGAAGAAGAGAUCAACCUCUUUUUUUUUUCACCCUCUGUUAUUUACAUCACAGCUAAGGCACUCACGAAGCUUUAAACAUAAACAUGGGAGGUGCGAUUUGACGUACAAGCGAGAGGAAAAGCCCUUUACAUUGGGGUAUGGAGUCUGCUUUGAGAGUAUCCAAAGAGGAAGAGU